GCCAUGGCUCAGUGGCAGAGAAUCUGCCUUGCAUGCAGAAGGCCCCAUGUUCGAUCCCCACUGGUUUCUCCA